rnacentral:rRNA from 1 species
UACGAAGGGGGCUAGCGUUGUUCGGAAUUACUGGGCGUAAAGCGCACGUAGGCGGAUACUUAAGUCAGGGGUGAAAUCCCGGGGCUCAACCCCGGGAACUGCCUUUGAUACUGGGUAUCUCGAGUCCGGAAGAGGUGAGUGGGAAUUCCGAGUGUAGAGGUGAAAUUCGAUAGAUAUUCGGAGGAACACCAGUGGCGAAGGCGGCUCACUGGUC